rnacentral:rRNA from 1 species
CACGCUGUAAACGAUGGAUACUAGCUGUCGGGGGUAUCGACCCCUUCGGUAGCGAAGCUAACGCGUUAAGUAUCCCGCCUGUGGAGUACGAUCGCAAGAUUAAAACAUAAAGGAAUUGAC